rnacentral:rRNA from 1 species
UAGGGAAUCUUCCGCAAUGGGCGAAAGCCUGACGGAGCAACGCCGCGUGAGUGAUGAAGGUCUUCGGAUCGUAAAACUCUGUUAUUAGGGAAGAACAAAUGUGUAAGUAACUAUGCACGUCUUGACGGUACCUAAUCAGAAAGCCACGGCUAACUACGUGCCAGCAGCCGCGGUAAUACGUAGGUGGCAAGCGUUAUCCGGAAUUAUUGGGCGUAAAGCGCGCGUAGGCGGUUUUUUAAGUCUGAUGUGAAAGCCCACGGCUCAACCGUGGAGGGUCAUUGGAAACUGGAAAACUUGAGUGCAGAAGAGGAAAGUGGAAUUCCAUGUGUGGCGGUGAAGUGCGCAGUGAUAUGGAGGAACACCAGUGGCGAAGGCGACUUUCUGGUCUGUAACUGACGCUGAUGUGCGAAGGCGUGGGGAUCAAACAGG